rnacentral:rRNA from 1 species
GCCUACGGCCAUACCCAGUUGAAAGCACCGGAACUUGUCUGACCUCCGAAGUUAAGCAACUGUGGGCCUGGUUAGUUCUUGGAUGGGUGAGCGCCCGGGAACCCCAGGUAUUGCAGGCU